rnacentral:rRNA from 1 species
GACGAACCGUCCUAACGUUGUUCGGAAUCACUGGGCGUAAAGCGCACGUAGGCGGACUUUUAAGUCAGGGGUGAAAGCCUGAGGCUCAACCUCAGAACUGCCCUUGAUACUGGGAGUCUUGAGUAUGGUAGAGGUUGGUGGAACAGCAAGUGUAGAGGUGAAAUUCGUAGAUAUUUGCUAGAACACCAGUGGCGAAGGCGGCCAACUGGACCAUAACUGACGCUGAGGUGCGAAAGCGUGGGGAGCAAACAGG